CCUACGGGAGGCAGCAGUAGGGAAUCUUGCGCAAUGGGCGAAAGCCUGACGCAGCCAUGCCGCGUGAAUGAUGAAGGUCUUAGGAUUGUAAAAUUCUUUCACCGGGGACGAUAAUGACGGUACCCGGAGAAGAAGCCCCGGCUAACUUCGUGCCAGCAGCCGCGGUAAUACGAAGGGGGCUAGCGUUGCUCGGAAUUACUGGGCGUAAAGGGAGCGUAGGCGGAUAGUUUAGUCAGAGGUGAAAGCCCAGGGCUCAACCUUGGAAUUGCCUUUGAUACUGGCUAUCUUGAGUAUGGAAGAGGUAUGUGGAACUCCGAGUGUAGAGGUGAAAUUCGUAGAUAUUCGGAAGAACACCAGUGGCGAAGGCGACAUACUGGUCCAUUACUGACGCUGAGGCUCGAAAGCGUGGGGAGCAAACAGGAUUAGAUACCCUAGUAGUC
rnacentral:rRNA from 1 species